UCCCUACGGGACGCAGCAGUGAGGAAUAUUGGUCAAUGGGCAGAAGCCUGAACCAGCCAAGACGCGUGAGGGAAUAAGGCCCUACGGGUCGUAAACCUCUUUUGCCGGGGAGCAAGGGCGGGGACGUGUCCCGGCCCGGAGAGUACCCGGAGAAAAAGCAUCGGCUAACUCCGUGCCAGCAGCCGCGGUAAUACGUAGGGGGCAAGCGUUAUCCGGAUUUACUGGGUGUAAAGGGAGCAUAGACGGCUGUGCAAGUCUGAAGUGAAAUGCCGGGGCCCAACCCCGGAACUGCUUUGGAAACUGUA
rnacentral:rRNA from 1 species